rnacentral:lncRNA from 1 species
GGACAAUAACUGUAUACCAUGGCUUGACAAGCAAGCUGCAAAAACAGUCAUCUAUAUAAGCUUGGGAAGCAUAGCUAUAAUUGAUAAGAAUGAGCUAACAGAAAUGACCUGGGGGCUAGUCAACAGCAGCCAACAAUUCUUGUGGGUGAUUAGGCCUGGUUCAAUUCAGGGUUCAAGCUGGACUGAGCUACUGCCUGAUGGCUUCAGGGAAGCUGUUGGAGAAAGAGGUUGCAUUGUGAAAUGGGCACCACAAAGGAAGGUUUUAGCACAUCCUGCUGUGGGAGGGUUUUUGAGCCAUUGCGGAUGGAACUCAACACUGGAGAGUAUA